AGCUUUCCAAACUCAGCAGAGCACACAUCAGAGUGUGUUUAGUUCAUCUGGGCUGGUGAGUUCCAGUGAUGAAAGCCUGGUGCUAAUGGAGGCGAGGUCACCGGUUCAAUCCUCAUAGGACCCAGUUCACUUACAAGAGAAAAAACACUACUCAAGAACCAGAGACACCUCCUGACCCCAGUCACUGACCACAAGAAGGAUGGGGUGAAAACGAUGGCUGACCCAGGGCAAAACCAUCUGAUAAACAACUCAGACAGCACACCCCCAACCCCCAGCAGGAGAAGCCAGCACCUUCUAGUUUAAGGAUUUUAUAAAACCGCUUUUAUAAAAAUCCCUGCGGACAAGUUCACAGUAGCUGACUCCCCAAGAUUGUGUUUAUAUUUUCAGAAGGGGGCUGAAGAGCUAUGCCCAGACUGGAGCACGAGUCUGCUUGCUGGUGUGUUUCUCAGUCCAGUUUGAUUUUUUAAAGGUACCCUCCAUGGGACAGAACUCUGCUUACAAACUUUAAAACUGGAUGAUGCAAAAAUUACCUGCACAGCAGAGGAGGACAACGAACCAUAGUAAGUUUAAGUGAUGGAUUCUUUAAUCUAUCAUUAAUUUGUACAGAUAAGUCAAAGAAAGGUAGUAGCAGAUACGGAGCCCUCGCCGUGUACGCAACGCUUGACAUCCUUUCUCACUGAGUCCCCACAGUAGACCUUGUUUAUUUGUAUUACAGGAAUUGAGAACAGAAAGGAUCAUUAAACAUCACCUACUCCAAAUGCAUUCGUUUCCAGAACUCCACAAGCAAGGGCAGAGCCCAGGACUCCUGUUGCCUGAUUUUGUGCCUGAGGAUCUUGGCUCUUGAAGCAGGAGAACCUUCAGUGUAUGUUAGAAACUUCUGGGAGGGCUUGGCCAAGAUACAAGCUCUGGAUCCCACCACGGAGAUUCUGCUUCUGCAGGCUGAGGUCUGUCCAGGAAACAGCAUUUUAAUAAGCUCAGAUUCUGAUUUGGAUGAUCUUUGAAACAAACCAAAGCCCAAUACACACAAGCUUCCCAAUCACUUGCAGUUAAUUUUCACAAACGUUUUCUUAUAUUCAUUAUUAAUCUAGAAAAAAAGCAAUAAAUAUUUUCUAAGCACUUCUUUUUAGAAAUUAUUUUUAUUAUGGUUACAUAUAUGAAAAAUAAUAAAAAU
rnacentral:lncRNA from 10 species